rnacentral:rRNA from 1 species
UCUAAUACCGGAUAUGACAUGGGGUCGCAUGANCUCCGUGUGGAAAGCUCCGGCGGUGAAGGAUGAGCCCGCGGCCUAUCAGCUUGUUGGUGAGGUAAUGGCUCACCAAGGCGACGACGGG